rnacentral:rRNA from 1 species
CACGUAGGGUGCGAGCGUUGUCCGGAAUUAUUGGGCGUAAAGAGCUCGUAGGCGGUGUGUCGCGUCGGCCGUGAAAACCUGCAGCUUAACUGUGGGCUUGCGGUCGAUACGGGCAUCACUGGAGUUCGGCAGGGGAGACUGGAAUUCCUGGUGUAGCGGUGAAAUGCGCAGAUAUCAGGAAGAACACCCGUGGCGAAGGCGGUGCUCUGGGACGGUACUGACGCUGAGACGCGAAAGCGUGGGGAGCGAACAGG